GACGUAGGGGGCCAGCGUUGUUCGGAAUUACUGGGUGUAAAGGGUUCGUAGGCGGUGUGGCAAGUCGGGAGUGAAAUUUCUGGGCUCAACUCAGAGACUGCUUCCGAAACUGCUGUGCUUGAGUGUGGGAGAGGCGCGUGGAAUUGCAGGUGUAGCGGUGAAAUGCGUAGAUAUCUGCAGGAACACCCGUGGCGAAAGCGGCGCGCUGGACCACUACUGACGCUGAGGAGCGAAAGCGUGGGGAGCGAACAGG
rnacentral:rRNA from 1 species